rnacentral:lncRNA from 1 species
CGAUUGUCUUGCAGCUGUCUUAACAUAAUCGAUUAUUAUAAGUACAUAAUCGAUUAUCUUUGUCCAGAUUUUAGAGGCAUGUUCAAAAAUUAUUUUGCUAAAAUAAAUAUGCAUGAUUUAAAAUCAUUUUGCUCUAAAUUAAAUAUGCAUGAUUUUAUAAAAAUGUUUUUACGAGAGAAGCCAAGUCUUGAGUUAAUUUGUCGGAUCAAUAUCACAAUU